GGAACUGCGUGUAAUAUUCAACCGAGAUUGACCCCCUGCUGUACAGAUCGGGGUACUUCGAAUUCGACGUAAAAGUUUAACUGUUUAAACUAUCGUGCACGGUGCAGAUGCUUACUAGUAUGCCGAGGUCAUUGCGAUUCUUUGGGGAUUUACUGGAGGCAACCACCACCAAAUAUUGUUAUCUACUACACAAAGGAAAGUGUAAAGUAGACAGAGCAGUAAACUUCAAUGUUUCAAGGGAAAUAUUUGUUCCCGUUGGAAGUGAUUUGGAAAAUAAUUAUAGUCAAAUCACCCCUACUGCAAGCCAAUUAUCAGACUGUAUCAAUCUCAGCUGAGUCCAAGAUAGGAAGAGGCUUUGGAGAGAACACAGAAUUACUACAGACAAAAGACUUGUGAAGUUAUAAGGGGAAUUGCAGAACUCAUAGCUCCACUUCAAUCUAGAUAUGUUGACAGUUAUUUCACAGAAACACUUUGCAGCUGACAAAGAUAAUCAAAUGAUGACCACUACUUUAACUCUAUGGUUGCAGCACAUUUCAAUUUUUGAAGUG